rnacentral:rRNA from 1 species
CCUACGGGCGGCAGCAGUGGGGAAUAUUGCACAAUGGGGGAAACCCUGAUGCAGCGACGCCGCGUGAGUGAAGAAGUAUUUCGGUAUGUAAAGCUCUAUCAGCAGGGAAGAAAAUGUCGGUACCUGAUUAAGAAGCACCGGCUAACUACGUGCCAGCAGCCGCGGUAAUACGUAGGGGGCAAGCGUUAUCCGGAUUUACUGGGUGUAAAGGGAGCGUAGACGGCAGAGCAAGUCUGAAGUGAAAUGCCGGGGCUUAACCCCGGAACUGCUUUGGAGACUGUGCAGCUAGAGAGCAGGAGCGGUAAGUGGAAUUCAUAGUGUAGCGGUGAAAUGCGUAGAGAUUAGGAGGAACACCAGUGGCGAAGGCGGCUUACUGAACUGUAACUGACGUUGAGGCACGAAAGCGUGGGGAGCAAACAGGAUUAGAUACCUGUGUAGUC